UUAAAGAUGCUAGGUGGCUUCCUUUCAGUAUGGUACAUAAAAUCCACCCAACCAUGUGGAUUGGAGAGAUGCAUGUCUUCCAGUCCUAGGGCCUUCCUUUGCCUCUCAGGGGAAGCACAGGGAGCCAUAAAUUCUUACACCUGGGCCUGCUUCAUGCUGGUACCUUGUAGAUGUGUUAGUGAGAGUGAUGGGAAUAGGGGAAGCCAGGGAUGAGGGACAUCUGUGAUGCACUGGAAAGAGAGCUACGCCAAUGAUCUGAGGGUCCUGGCUUGAUGAUGCAAUUUACUUGCCUUGUGAUCAUGACAACCAAUUUACCUUCUCUGAGACUGUUUCCUCUUUAUUUAUUUGUUUGUUUGUUUGUUUGUUUUUACUUAUUAUUAUUAUUUUUGAGCUGGAGUCUCGCUUUGUUGCCCAGGCUGGAGUGCAGUGGCACGAUCUGGGCUCACUGCAAGCUCCGCCUCCUGGGUUCACGCCAUUCUCCUGCCUCAGCCUCCCGAGUAGCUGGGACUACAGGCACCUGCCACCACGCCAGGCUAAUUUUUUUUUUUUGUAUUUUUAGUAGAGAUGGGGUUUCACCGUGUCAGCCAGGAUGGUCUCAAUCUCCUGACUUGUGAUCCACCCACUUCGGCCUCCCAAAGUGCUGGGAUUACAGGCGUGAGCCACCACGCCCGACUGACUGUUUCCUCAUUUUUCAAAAAUGGAGUGAUAUAACCUUCUUUAUAAGGCUCUUCAUGUAUUAGCUGACAUCACAUGAAUGAAAGCCUUUUGUGAAGAGUAAAAUGCUCCCCAGACAAGGUGAUAGUGGUGAUGGUGGUGAAGAUAACUGUGACUUCCAUGAUGUGCAUUGAGUCAGACUCCAUAGGGUCUCUGGUUCAUUCUCCUGUCUGCCUAUUGAGCCUGCCGACGUUACUUGGGAGAAAGGGACUUGAUAUUUCCUUUAUGUUAAUGACUGCGGUUCUUUGUGUCCCCUCCAGAUUUCUCUACCUCAGUCCCUUUUUUUGUGGUCUCUUUAUAGAUUUCAGGUAUGCUGCUGAAGGUGGGAAUCCUCUACAUUGGUGGGCAGCUGGUGACCAGUGGGGCUGUAACCAGUGGGAACCUUGUCACAUUUGUUCUCUACCAGAUGCAGUUCACCCAGGCUGUGGAGGUGAGGUCCCUCCACCUUCACUCCCCAGUGUGAUUCCUUCCUCUGGCCCAGCACCAUCUGUGUGAUUUCCUUCCAUUCUUUUACCCUUUUCACUUCACAUAAUGCUGGCAAGCAGACUAGGUCUCCCACCUCACUUUCACUAUUCUUACCUCCCUCUAGGUACUGCUCUCCAUCUACCCCAGAGUACAGAAGGCUGUGGGCUCCUCAGAGAAAAUAUUUGAGUACCUGGACCGCACCCCUCGCUGCCCACCCAGUGGUCUGUUGACUCCCUUACACUUGGAGGGCCUUGUCCAGUUCCAAGAUGUCUCCUUUGCCUACCCAAACCGUCCAGAUGUCUUAGUGCUACAGGGGCUGACAUUCACCCUACGACCUGGCGAGGUGACGGCGCUGGUAGGACCCAAUGGGUCUGGGAAAAGCACAGUGGCUGCCCUGCUGCAGAAUCUGUACCAGCCCACCGGGGGACAGCUGCUGUUGGAUGGGAAGCCCCUUCCCCAAUAUGAGCACCGCUACCUGCACAGGCAGGUGGCUGCAGUGGGACAAGAGCCACAAGUAUUUGGAAGAAGUCUUCAAGAAAAUAUUGCCUAUGGCCUGACCGAGAAGCCAACUAUGGAGGAAAUCACAGCUGCUGCAGUAAAGUCUGGGGCCCAUAGUUUCAUCUCUGGACUCCCUCGGGGCUAUGACACAGAGGUAGGCGAGGCUGGGAGCCAGCUGUCAGGGGGUCAGCGACAGGCAGUGGCAUUGGCCCGAGCAUUGAUCCGGAAACCAUGUGUACUUAUCCUGGAUGAUGCCACCAGUGCCCUGGAUGCAAACAGCCAGUUACAGGUGGAGCAGCUCCUGUACCAAAGCCCUGAGCGGUACUCCCGCUCAGUGCUUCUCAUCACCCAGCACCUCAGCCUGGUGGAGCAGGCUGACCACAUCCUCUUUCUGGAAGGAGGCGCUAUCCGGGAGGGGGGAACCCACCAGCAGCUCAUGGAGAAAAAGGGGUGCUACUGGGCCAUGGUGCAGGCUCCUGCAGAUGCUCCAGAAUGAAAGCCUUCUCAGACCUGCACACUCCAUCUCCCUCCCUUUUCUUCUCUCUGUGGUGGAGAACCACAGCUGCAGAGUAGGCAGCUGCCUCUAGGAUGAGUUACUUGAAAUUUGCCUUGAGUGUGUUACCUCCUUUCCAAGCUCCUCGUGAUAAUGCAGACUUCCUGGAGGACAAACACAGGAUUUGUAAUUCCUUAGUGUAAUGGGGUUUAGAGCCGGGGUUGAUGCUUUGGUGUGGCCAGCACUCUGAAACUGAGAAAUGUUCAGAAUGUACGGAAAGAUGAUCAGCUAUUUUCAACAUAACUGAAGGCAUAUGCUGGCCCAUAAACACCCUGUAGGUUCUUGAUAUUUAUAAUAAAAUUGGUGUUUUGUA
rnacentral:sRNA from 1 species